rnacentral:snRNA from 1 species
AUACUUACGUGGCAGGGGAGAUACCAUGAUCAAGGAUGUGGUUUUCCCGGGGCGAGGCUCAUCCAUUGGACUCUGGAUGUGCUGACCCCUACCAUUUCCCCAGUUGUGGCAAACUUGACUGCAUAAUUUGUGAUAGUGGGGGAAUGUGCUCAUGCUCUCCCCUA